UACAGAGGGUGCAGGCGUUAAUCGGAAUUACUGGGCGUAAAGCGUGCGUAGACGGUCAUGUAAGUCGGGUGUGAAAGCCCCGGGCUCAACCUGGGAAUUGCAUUCGAGACUGCAUGGCUAGGAUGCGGAAGAGGGAAGCGGAAUUUCCGGUGUAGCGGUGAAAUGCGCAGAUAUCAGGAGGAACACCGGUGGCGAAGGCGGGUCUCUGGGCCGAUACUGACGCUGGAGGAGCGAAAGCGUGGGGAGCGAACAGG
rnacentral:rRNA from 1 species